rnacentral:rRNA from 1 species
ACGUAGGGUGCGAGCGUUAAUCGGAAUUACUGGGCGUAAAGCGUGCGCAGGCGGUUCGCUAAGACAGGUGUGAAAUCCCCGGGCUUAACCUGGGAAUGGCGCUUGGGACUGGCAGUCUAGAGUACGGCAGAGGGGGGUGGAAUUCCACGUGUAGCAGUGAAAUGCGUAGAGAUGUGGAGGAACACCGAUGGCGAAGGCAGCGCUCUGGUCCGCAACUGACGCUCAUGCACGAAAGCGAGGGGAGCGAACAG